rnacentral:sRNA from 1 species
GCUGGGCCUGGUGGUGCACACCUGUAAUCCCAGGAGCUUGGAGGCUGAGGCAGGAGAAUUGAGAGUUCAAAGUCAGCAUGAACAAGUUAGUGAGGCUCUAAGCAACUUAUCAAGACUCUGUUUCUA